UACGGGGGGGGCAAGCGUUGUUCGGAAUUACUGGGCGUAAAGGGCGUGUAGGUGGCCAACUAAGUCCGACGUGAAAUCCCCAGGCUUAACCUGGGAACUGCGUCGGAUACUGGAUGGCUUGAAUUCGGGAGAGGAAUGCAGAAUUCCAGGUGUAGCGGUGAAAUGCGUAGAGAUCCGGAAGAACACCAGUGGCGAAGGCGGCUCGCUGGGCAGUGGCUGACGCUGAGGCGCGACAGCGUGGGGAGCAAACAGG
rnacentral:rRNA from 1 species